GCCGGGGUGGCGGAACUGGAAGACGCCCGGGACUCAAAAUCCCGUGGGCCGCAAUGCCCGUGAGGGUUCGACUCCCUCCCCCGGCACCA
rnacentral:tRNA from 1 species